GGAGGGUGCCCCAGAUCAGAGCACCACCUCAAUUCCAGGCCCCCAGGCAGAGGACAGCGCCACCUCCAUUCUAGACCCCCCGCAGGAGGAUGCCCCAGAGCAAAGCGCCACAUCCAUUCCGGGCCCCCAGGUGCAGGACACCAAGGAGGGUGGUAGCACCACCACCAUGCCAGGCCCCCUGGUGGAGGGUGAACAGGAAAGCAAGAAGGGACCAGUCAGUCCUGCCCCCCAGUCCCCCCUCACCAACCUCAGACCUCCCCCAAGACGCCGCUGGCUCCUCAAGUUCCGCAGGAAUGCGGUGGCUCCUGCAGAAAGCCAUGAAGACAAUGACACCUCAGUCCCAUCCAUUAGCUCUAGCCAAGGCGGGCGGGCCAGCAGGAGGAUAAUGAAUGCCCUGCUAAAUUUGUGCUGUUUCUGCCGACCACACCACUGAAAACACGGCAAGGGUGUUCACCCACCCGACAACUCAUAAGACUGCCACACCCUGCAGACGUCCCGCCCAAAAUGCAGCCACCAAGUGAGCAGGAGCAUGCCAGGGGAGGGCGAGGCUCUGGAGAGGGGUCAGGGCCUGGGCCCAGUCAGAGGGGCCAGGAGAAGCAUGACGCACACAGGACCUGAUCACAGAUGUCCGCGGAACACAGAUGUCCUGGAGCAGAGCAGGCUCUGUCCUGUGAAGGCCUCCCCGCCCCCUUGCUGGGACAGCCCUGCUGCUGGCGCCUGGGCACACGGAUGGCGCAGAGGAUGCAGGAGCUCUGUGGUCUGAGUGGCAUUGUCAUUGACUGACGGACACGGUCCCGGACGGCGCAGGAGGUGGCCGCGAUGGGCAGACGGGCUCCCCACUGCAGAGGGGACCUCCAGGUGACCGGCUCUGCCUCUAGGGCGCUGGGGCGUGGAGGCAUCUGAAUGCUGUUUCUCGGCCUGAUGGAGACACUCAGAAAUGGAUUGCUUUGUUAGCGUGUCUAUGCCAUGACUCAUUAAAUCAUUGUUUGAA